UACCAGCACCCCGGAGUGGUCGGGACGAUUAUUGGGCCUAAAGCAUCCGUAGCCGGUCCUACAAGUCUUCCGUUAAAUCCACCUGCUUAACAGAUGGGCUGCGGAAGAUACUAUAGGGCUAGGAGGCGGGAGAGGCAAGCGGUACUCGAGUGGGUAGGGGUAAAAUCCUCUGAUCCAUUGAAGACCACCAGUGGCGAAGGCGGCUUGCCAGAACGCGCUCGACGGUGAGGGAUGAAAGCUGGGGGAGCAAACCGG
rnacentral:rRNA from 1 species